CAAUAGCGUAUAUUAAAGUUGUUGCAGUUAAAAAGCUCGUAGUUGGAUUUCUGGUAGGAGCGACCGUGCCGAACUUGAUUGUUCGAGUAUUAUGUUGUCUUCAGCCAUCCUCGUGGAGAACUUUUCUAACAUUAACUUGUUGGGAUUGGGACCCGCGUCGUUUACUGUGAAAAAAUUAGAGUGUUUAAAGCAGGCAUUAGCUUGAAUACAUUAGCAUGGAAUAAUAAGAUAGGACUUUGGUACUAUUUUGUUGGUUUGCAUACCAAAUUAAUGAUCAACAGGAACAGUUUGAGGAUAUUCGUAUGAACAUGUCAGAGGUGAAAUUCUUGGAUUUUGAUCAGACGAACUACUGCGAAAGCAUUUAUCAAGGAUGUUUUCAUUAA
rnacentral:rRNA from 1 species